CCUACGGGAGGCAGCAGUGGGGAAUAUUGCACAAUGGGCGCAAGCCUGAUGCAGCCAUGCCGCGUGUAUGAAGAAGGCCUUCGGGUUGUAAAGUACUUUCAGCGGGGAGGAAGGUGUUGUGGUUAAUAACCUCAGCAAUUGACGUUACCCGCAGAAGAAGCACCGGCUAACUCCGUGCCAGCAGCCGCGGUAAUACGGAGGGUGCAAGCGUUAAUCGGAAUUACUGGGCGUAAAGCGCACGCAGGCGGUCUGUCAAGUCGGAUGUGAAAUCCCCGGGCUCAACCUGGGAACUGCAUUCGAAACUGGCAGGCUAGAGUCCUGUAGAGGGGGGUAGAAUUCCAGGCGCAGCGGUGAAAUGCGUAGAGAUCUGGAGGAAUACCGGUGGCGAAGGCGGCCCCCUGGACAAAGACUGACGCUCAGGUGCGAAAGCGUGGGGAGCAAACAGGAUUAGAUACCCUCGUAGUC
rnacentral:rRNA from 1 species